CCUUCCAUCACUGAAUUAGAAAUUUAGAUGGUCCGGUACUAAAAUAUAGUGAGUUGCUUACAAGUCACCAUGGUAAUCUCAGAUCUGAGAGACACUUGUACCCAUUUUCUCUACGAGCUACUCUUAACAAUAGAGUGCUCGACAAAUGGCCACAUCUGAUGCAAAUAUACUCCUACAUUCCAUCUACAUGCCAUAACAAUAUCUCCACACUCUUUGGUCA
rnacentral:lncRNA from 1 species